rnacentral:misc_RNA from 1 species
GAUGAAGACGCAGCGAAAUGCGAUAAGUAGUGUGAAUUGCAGAAUUCAGUGAAUCAUCGAAUCUUUGAACGCACAUUGCGCCCCUUGGUAUUCCAUGGGGCAUGCCUGUUCGAGCGUCAUUUGUACCUUCAAGCUUUGCUUGGUGUUGGGUGUUUGUCCCUCGGGACUCGCCUUAAAGUCAUUGGCAGCCAGUGUUUUGGUUUUGAAGCGCAGCACAAGUCGCGAUUCAAGGCUAUCCGCCCGCUUCCACAAGCCUUUUUCACUUUUGACCUCGGAUCAGGUAGGGAUACCCGCUGAACUUAAGCAUAUCAAUAAGCGGAGGA